UAUUUGACUGAACGAUGGGCUGAGGCCUGGGAGUGCUGGGAAUUGGGAUUCAUGAUACGAUUCACCCCUUAAGAAUGGGAAGUACAGACCUACUCUCCCUGCAGCCUACCUCAGUGUGGGACUUUGGAACAGUCUUAAACAUGUAAUAGAAGGAAAUGUUCCAGUUAAUGUUCUUGCUGUUCCAACAGCUGCAUCAAUCCAGACACUCCUGAAACCCUCACAAGAUGAUUUACUCAGUAUCCUGUGUAUGGUCUGAUGAUGCAGCAGACAACUACAGAGUGGGUGCUGCUGAGCAGAGCUGUGCUGUUCCCUCUCCCUCCUCCCAUACAGACUGUUGCUUCCCUUCUAAGCACUACUACUCUUCCAAUCCCCAGGGAGCCAGUUCAGGAAGGCAAAACUUGCUGGAGUGUACAAAUCAUCGCUUCAGAACCAAGUGCUUGGAAGUCACCUGUUAUCAUCAAUUAGAGAAGGGAUCAACUUUGACAUAAAUGUAACAAGGUGCUGUCCUACCCCACCCUCUGCUCAGAGACAUCACUACUUGGAUUAGUGGAGAGACCAGAAACCAAGGUCCAAGUAAGAUAAAGAAACUGAAAGCCAGUGGGGAGAUCACUGUGGGACAAAGCACAUAGGAAUUUUUUGACAGAGUCCUUUAUGUGACUUGAAACCACUGUGACACUAUCCUCAGAGGAAGAAGAGAAGAAUGAUAUAACCUCUUCUAAUGCCCACAUGAUUGCAGAGUCCAGUGGACAGAGUCAGGCACAAGCCUAAGAAGUAUUUGGAUAGUCAGAGCUACAUGAACUCAGACAGAUUGACCAUCCACCUUUCUUCAAGGGCCAACCCUCUCUAUAUAUCUCCUUGUUGGGAGGAUUACCUCUUAGUUAAUGGCUUCUGAUGCUACCAAUGAAGCUGACAUGCUAAGUUAUCUGUGUCCAGGCUGAAGCCAUGCCAUUCCUGACAAGAACAUUGUGGUUCACACGUCUCCCACGUAGCCAUAGGGCUAUAAGGCCAGUGGUCAGUCUUAAGGUUUCCUCUUUCUAUGGCUUUGCCUCAAUCUUCUGCCUGCAUCUGAGGAAGACAAUGACAAUUCCCCUCAUUUGUAAUGAAUAUCUCUGAUCCAUGGUGAAAGAGCCUAUGGAAGUACGUCGUGGUGUUGAAGGAGGACGGUACAGGGAGGGGAUGCAACUCCCACAGGCCAUGCUGAAUGAAGAGUUCAGUAGGAAAAGAGGCUGGACUGUGCAAGUGUGAAAUGAGCCAUUGCACAAGUGGCCCCAGAGCUGAGCAGGGAAUAGAGCCAAUGAGCAGAAGACAGGGAUGAACUGAGAGGCCCGAGGAAAUACUUCAUAGCAGGAGAGACACUGUGACACUCUGACACCAGCCUCUUCAUCCUCUUAGGCAGCUUUGGCCAUGCUGCCUGUCUCUCCCUAAUGGCUGGUGGACUAGGAAUUGCUCUGGACUUUAUGCAAGCAAAUUCUGCAGCUGGACCAACAUGGAUGUAAAAUGGUCCCAUGGCUCCCUGAAAAGGAGAAACUAUCACAGGGAGAGAGGUUGGCACCACCACUCCAGGAAAAACUGGUGCAGAGCCUGUUUUGACUCCCAGCCCACUGCUCUGCUCCCGUGAAACCUCAGCCAAUCUGAUGCUGUGGGAGUCAUCCUGGGCAUUCAUUACUUGUGUCUGCAUACACGUAGGUCUACACACUCUUGAGUCUGCAAAUUUGAUUUCAGAGUGACUGGAUAUUCCUGAACUACAAAAUGUCUGUUUUCUUUAUUGCUAGCCAGAAGGGUCUUUCUCAUUGUGUGUGAAGCAUUUGGUGCCUUUAAGGAGGGUAAGGCACCAGAGUCUGAGUUUGUAUGGUCAUAUGGGAUGUUCUCUGCGAUAGCAGAACUUCAAGAAAGCUGGGUCCUUUAUAAAAGAUCUUGCAUAUAAACCUGCUCACAGGCUGUGUUGGGUCUGUCUGAGCUGGAGUCACCUUUUCCCUGCAGCAUCCCGCACAGUGCUGUGCUCUGCACUCGUAGCUGGAACAGCACUGAUAUCACUCCAGUGUUGUGUCUAUUGCUGCUUAGUGCUGGCACAGUAUCAGGGCUCCUUCCAAGCCCCCAAGAGCCAGCAGGCUGGGGGUGGGCAAGUGACGGGGAGGGGACAUUGCCGGGGCAGCUGACCUAAACCAACCAAAGGGAUAUUCCAUAACACCUGAUGUCACACUCAGCAAUAAAAGGGGGGGCUCUCGUGGGGGAGGGGGCUGUUCCUCCUGAACAACCACUACGCGUUUGAGGCCCUGCUUCCCAGGACGUGGCCGAACACCGCUCGCUGAUGGGAAGUAGAGAAUAAUUUUUUUUCUCUCUCUGUGCUUCCACGCGGACUGAUUGUUUCUUUGUUUCUGUUUUUUCCUCCCCAUUCCUUUUCCCUUUAAUUAAACCUUUCUCAUCUCAAACCUCGAGUUCUCUAUGUUGUAUUUUCUCCCCCUUCCUCUUUGAGGAGAGGGGGAGUGAGAGAGCGGUUGUGGUGGAGCUCGGCUGCCCACCUGAGUAAAACCACCACACCGGCAAAUAGGAUAAAUUAAAAAUGUGAAGGAGCUUACAAAUCAGCUGGUUGUAAGAGCUCCCCCAGCCUCUUCCAGUGAGUGAGUCAGAGCACAUGGACUCAGGACUGUAUCAGGCAUCUCCAGAGAACACAGCAAGAAGUUCCAGCUAAUGUUUUCUGACCAAGAAAACUGGCACUAAUAAUUUGGAUGCAUGCCAUCCAGUUUCUACUGGAAAAAAAAAAAAAAAAACAAAAACAAAAAACCCCCCCCCCACACACAAAACAAAAAACAACCAACAAACAAAAACAACAACAACAACACAAACACUCCAAAAUGUGAGGAAAAAAUGGGCUGUUUGGCUGGUUGGGAUUUUCACAGACUUUGAAGGAGCGAGAGGCUUUGAUAUCAAUAGCUACUUCAAGUUCCC
rnacentral:lncRNA from 1 species